rnacentral:tRNA from 1 species
GCGCAUAUAGCUCAGUUGGUCAGAGCAAUGGUCUUAUAAGCCAUAGGUCCUUGGUUCGAAUCCAAGUAUGCGCA